CGCGUAGGUGGUAGUGAAAGUCUAUGGUGGAAUCUUAGGGCUUAACCCUAAAACUGCCUUGGAAACUUCAUUACUUGAGUCAGUGAGGGGAGGGUAGAAUUCCUGGUGUAGCGGUGAAAUGCGUAGAUAUCAGGAGGAAGGCCGGUGGCGAAGGCGGCCCUCUGGCGCUGAGCUGACGCUGGGGCGCGAAAGCGUGGGUAGCAAACAGGAUUAGAUACCCUGGUAGUCCACGCCCUAAACGGUGGGUACUAGGUGUAGGGCUCGUAAGGGUUCUGUGCCGAAGGGAAACCAUUAAGUACCCCGCUGGGGAGUACGGCCGCAAGGUUGAA
rnacentral:rRNA from 1 species